UACAGAGGUGGCAAGCGUUGUUCGGAAUUACUGGGCGUAAAGGGCGCGUAGGCGGUCUUGUAAGUCUUGUGUGAAAUCCCUCGGCUUAACUGAGGAACUGCACGGGAUACUGCGAGACUUGAGAUCGGGGAGAGGGAAGCGGAAUUCCGGGUGUAGCGGUGAAAUGCGUAGAAUAUCGGAAGGAACAUCAGUGGCGAAAGCCGGCUUCCUGGUCC
rnacentral:rRNA from 1 species